GGAAAAAAGUGCAGAAGGUGUAAUAAAAGUCACCCAGUGGGAGUUUAUCUUUGGGAGCCUGAGCUACCGUGGCCUCAUCAUGGUGGAGAUUCUAAACACUGUCCCCAGUGCAGAAAUAGAGCUCAGAAAACUUAGAGGAAUGAAGGGUUAACAUGUUCUUUAGGCUGACUUUCUCAAAUAUCCAGCGUCUCGGCCAAGCUUUUAACUGGAGCAGUCUGAGAGGACAGGACAGCCAGGUACUUGAAAAGGACCCAAUGGCCAUAAACGUCUCUGAACAGGUGGCCUCAAUGCUUUGUGCUUUCAUCUGUGUAGUUAUCACCCUGCAGAGCAGUGUGUGUGUUCGUGUUUUUUUCCUUCCUGUCUUCCCCUCUGAACUGUGGGUUUACUCAUCCUUGACUCCUAGCACCUAGUGAAGACUUUGACACAUGGGCCCAGAGAGAUUCUUGUUGAAAGUAUGAAUGGCAGGGGGAGAAGGGGAGAUGCUUCUCUUUCUUUUCUGACAUUGUAUUAAGUGUCACCUUCUGGCUUAGUUUUGUCCAAAAUGAAUGUUUGCUGCCUGGGUUAUAUCAUAUGUCCAUGUCACAGCUGAGUGUUUUGCUAGAAGGAUUCAUUUUAGUGUCUGAGCUGGUUAAGUAAUAGAUAGCAGGUUAACUCUUUGCUUUAUUUAAAGUCAUUUUGCGUAGUUGAUUUGAUUCCUCAUUCAGCCUACAAAAAUUUAUGUAUCUUCUGUGUACUAGCUAGCCAUUUAGCAGCUCAGCGUGUAGCCUAGUGACCUAUGAGACAAUAAGCAUAUAUUCAUACAAAGAGAUUCUGAAGUAGUCUCCACCUUGAUGGAAUGGAUAUGCAUAUUGGGGUCUCUCAGAUAGCCCCCUAGAUGAAAUAAAAUGCUUUUAAUCUGAGAGGUGAUUGUUUUGUGGAUUUUGUCACCCAGAUAUAUUCGUGAAAAUUGCAAUGCAAGUCAACCAGUUUUCUCCUGGAAUCCACGUGGUGUGGGGUUGAAUGAAUACGUUUAGGCCAGUGAGUCUCCGAUUAAGGAUGUUCACUCUCUGCUUUAAGCUCCCAACUCAACUCGUUAGUCAAUUAUGGACUUUAAGCAAGUGGGCUUAGGGGGCGUAUACAAAUCACUGAAUCACAAAGAAUAUAUUUCCCGAGUUCCCAUUGUUGCGCAGCCAGGGAUCGAACCCGCAACCUCAUGGUUCCUAGUCGAAUUCGUUAACCACUGUGCCACAACGAGAACGCCCUGAAUAAAAAUAUUUUUAAUAAAGCCCGGGGAAGUAUUCCUGACUUCUCCUUUCCCCCAGCUUUUGCACUCAGUCUGGCACUAUGACCAGGUGAAAGCAAAGAAAAAAAUAAUUUCCAUUCCCGGGCCCCCAUGCCUCUUUCUCGUUUCUUCCAACAUUGGUAGCUAAGAGCCAGUCAGCGGACUUGUGUUCUCAUGAUCCCUCUGGAUGCUAGAGAGUGUUCUUAGCCCUGAUAGUGGGCCUGGGGCCUCUCCUGGCCUGGCCCCUGACCUUCCUCUAUCGCUGCAGGGUAGGAGUUGGAGCCAGGCUCCUGGGUCCGCCCCCACCUCGGUAAACGCAGACCCUCGUGACCCUGAAACUGUUGAGCAAACACGAAGUGAAAUAGCCCCAUGCUCUAUUAGAGGCUGGAGUUUAAAGGUCAGCGCUGUGCUUAUCGGCUGAGCCUGAUUCACUCCCUAAAUGACUCUGGGGGAGUUUCAGGCUGGCAGUAUGGACUGAGAAGAUGAGCCUUUCUGUGCAGACUGGGGAGCUGUUUGCUUUGCCUGGAGCUGUCUUUGCCAACAGGAACACUGCAGGUCAGCAGCAGGUGGGAGAUAAACAUAGGUCCCCUUUGAGGAGCGAUUCCUUCUGACUUUGACUUAGAGAAAGCUCAAGGUACAUGUGGUCCAUUGGUCGCUUGUGGCUUUCAGCUCUUUCCCGCGAAAAUCAGAAAAUCUCCACCAGAAACAAUUUCAUGAUGGAAACAGUGUCAACAGGCAGAUAAUGAGUAAUUGAAAGACAGAUGUGUCAAAGCUCCUAUCAUACAGAAACCAGUGGUGGAAUUUGGAGAUUUCAGGUCAUUUUUGCUCCUUAGCAAAAGCUGGAAAUGGGGGAGGGCAAAAUUUUCAGAAGUUAUCUUAAGUAUUUUUAUUUCCAUUUAAAGAAAACAAUUCUCCUAAUUUUUAAAGCAUUUUAUUGCAAAGGGAACAUACCAUCGUAGUGGGCCUGUAUAUAUGAAUGAUUUGGGAUUUAGGGUGAGACGGUAACGAGCUAAGGGAAAGAGUCACGAGGAUUACUCAGAGCUGCUGCUGGACGUGUCUGCCUGUCCGUGGCACUUUAAGAUUGCAACAUUUUGUUUGGUGACCUUCAUACCACCCGACUGCAUGCACCUUAAUCUCUCUCUCAAAAAAAGCUGAGCCUGCUAUAGAUUUGGUGGGUUGCUUUUUUUUUUUUUUUUAAACUCAGUUUCUCAUUUACCUCCUGCUUUAUGACUCCUGGUUUAAUUUGUACAAAAGGAUGAAGUUCAUUAUUACAUAACUCAGAAACCCAUCUUGGAGGUUUUAGGAAAAAUAAGUGCCAGGGUUUUUAUGGAUGGAGCCUGAAAAAACCUCGUAGAUAAUUCAGGGGGGCACACUUUUUAAGAGAAGUAAAGAAUGCUUCCAAACAAUUGUAGAAUAGCUACACAAGUGCACAAAGGGGAGGAAAAUGCCAGUUUGAGGGUAAUAAAGUAUCCUGCAGAACUUUAUUUAAGUUGGAACUUAUAACUAAAAGUUAACAAGCAGAGUAAAUGACAGGACUUUGAAGCUUUCAUGAGGGAUGCCAAUUUGUCAAUGUGGCGCCUGUCUGUGUAGCUCAGGCUGGCUGUCAGAUUCUCUGCCCCUAUGUAGGAAUUGCUUUGUGAGUAUUCAGUCUUUAUUUUUCAAGAAUUAAUGAAGUGAACUUUCAGACUAUUGAGUAAAUAUUGCACGGUCCCUGAGCUACGGUUGUACAGUAGACCCAUGGAAAUUUUAUUGCUUAAAGAGUUAAAUGAGACUCAGUUGUCUAAGAAUAUUAAACAAUUAAGUUGUGAUACUUUGAUCAAAAGGGUGUAACUUCCUCCCUCCUUGUUUCCUUACUAGCUAACUAAUUCUUCUUCCUUCUUCUCUCUCUUUCCUCCUCCUUCCUUCAUCUCUUUGCUCAAUUAUUCUUAUCAUGUCCAUUUGAGAGUAGCUUAUUUCUGUCUCUAAAAUUAUUUGUUUUAAGGCAAAGCAAAGAACCUGAAAGCCAAGUUAGUGUCUUUUUUUAACCUCCUACUAUUCUAAACGUAAUCUUCUCUCCCUCCACCCCAUUAUUCGUGGUUACUAAAACUAGCUUUUAUUCAGACAGCCUCGCCAGUGUAUUGCCUCCUUAGUGUUAGAUAUUCUCAUAUAUAUAGUAUUUAGCUAAAUGAUAAAGCUGAUGGUCUUGAAACUGGCUACCUUAUUUUGAAAAAUCUUCACUUACCUCUCUAAACCCAAUGCAGAUAGUCGCAGACUUUGUAGACAAGACAUUAUGCAGAAAACCAUUAACUUGAUGUUCCGUUUUCAGGAGAGACAGUCACAAAUUCCACUGCAAAGUAGAGCUAUUGGACUAAACACUGGUCUAUUAAUAACCAGGGAGAACAGUUUAGCUACUUUCCCUGCUGAGCUAAAAUAUAGUGCUGCCGUCUUUUCUCCCGUGGUAUUCUCCAGUGUGGGUUACUUGGUCCUGGGAAUUUCCUGUCCAAAAAGUCAUUUUGGUCAAUCAGGCAUUGCACAGUCCCGGGACCGGUUAAUGUGGCAGUGGUGUGGCCUGCUGAGUUUUAAUGUGAGAGUGGCCUGCCGGGGUUUCAGAAAUGAAUCAUCCAUCUUUGAGCCCAUGAAAACAGUCAGGAGCAGUUUCAAAGUCAGGAAGAUUCAAGGUAACUGGUAUACCGUGUUCAGCAGGCUUCUACUGAAGCCUGUCUGCAGGUAGCUUGCAUUCAAGGGCAGGAAACCCUCAUUUCUAAACAACUUUUGGUUUCCCUUUGUCCUUCCUUUGCUUCUCAUUGACUGGCUUUGUCCACCUCGAAUCCGAGGGCUGCCUUCCCAUCACUGCCUCUCUCAGAUUCAGAAUUGGGCCUGUGCUUUCAGACUCAUGUCAUUUCUGCUCUCACUUCCCCCUGCCUUACCUUUGUCCUUGACCUUAUUUUGGCUGGUUGGUUUGCCAUUCUCCACAUUUGUCCCUCCCUGGCCUUUGUGUGGGCUCCUCUGUCAUUUAUUUUUAACCCGUGGCACACAGCCCUUCCCUGUCAUCCGCCAGCCUGCAUUCUCCCCCACUAGUGUCAGCUCAAGUCUUGUCUUCUCUGUAAGGACCUUCCUGUAUUUGAAUCUAGAAUCUCUACCCAGGACUUGCUAACUCUUGACCAUCUUCAUACAUGUGUGGUCAAACAACCUCAAUUUUCUGUGAACAUUCAAAGACUAAGAUAUAUAUUUCUUAUAUGUUUUAUGAUCUCAUGACAGGGGUGUGUCUUGGUUCAAGAAAUGAACUUCCAGGUUGUGGCUCUGGCAGGAUGGGAGGCAAACAAGUUUGUUUUAAUAAAGAUCCAUCUCUCAGGCUGCUUCUUUUUUUAAAAAAUUUUUAAUGAUUUUUUAUUGUUUCCGUUAUAGUUGAUUUACACUGUUCUGUUCAUUUCUACUGUAUAGCAAAAUGACCUAAAUAUAUAUAUGUGUGUAUACACACACACACACACACACACAUAUAUAUAUAUAUUCUUUUUCUCACAUUAUUCUCCAUCGGGUUCCAUCACAAGUGACUGGAUAUAGUUCCCUGUGCUGUACAGCAGGAUCUCAUUACUUAUCCACUCCAAAUGCAGGAGUUUGCAUCUACUGACCCCAGGCUUAGGCUGCUUCUUUAUCUAAUGGAGCAAGCUAGGGGAAGGCCUGCUUAUCUUGGUGUUUUAGCUUUCCUAAUUGGUAACAAUUGUCUCUGGAAAAUUGUUGUAUGUGGUUAUCCAAGCUGAUCAUUAAUAUUAUUAACACUGUAAAUUUCAUUGUUUAAUCACUUCUGACAGUAUUUAUUGCCUUUCUCAGAGUUAAUCAGUAACAGUUUGUCUGAGGGUAGCUUUUUCCCCCAUCUUAACCAUUUUUAAGUAUACAGUUCAGUGGGGUGUUAAGGUCAUUUCCAUUGUGUAACCCUCACCACCAUCUCCAGAAUUCUUCAGCUUGCAAAACCAAAGCUCUUAUACCCAUUAAACAGUAACUCCCUGUUUCCCCUCCUGCCAACUCCUGGCUACCAUCAUUCUACUUCCCAUCUCUAUGAAAUUAACUACUCCAAGUACCUCAUAUAAGUGGAAUAUGGUAUUUGCGUUUUGUGACAGGCCUAUCUCACUUGGCAUAAUAUCCUCAAGGUUCAUCCAUGUUGUGGCAUAUGUCAGAAUUUUCUGGAGUUCCCUUGGUGGCUCAGCAAGUUAAGAACCUGACACAGGGUCUAUGAGGAUGCAGGUUCAAUCCCUGGCCCAGGAACUUCUACAUGCUGCAGACAUGGCAAAAAAAACAAAAAACAACAAACAAACAAACAAAAAA
rnacentral:lncRNA from 1 species